rnacentral:tRNA from 1 species
GGAGGUGUGGCCGAGUGGUCGAUGGCGGCAGUCUUGAAAACUGUUGUACGGCAACGUACCGGGGGUUCGAAUCCCUCCGCCUCCG